GGCGAACGGGUGAGUAACACGUGAGCAACCUGCCUUACACAGGGGGAUAGCCAUUGGAAACGGUGAUUAAUACCCAUAAGACCACAAUACCGCAUGGUAAAAGGGUAAAAGGGAUACCGGUGUAAGAUGGGCUCGCGUCUGAUUAGCUAGUUGGUGGGGUAAAGGCCUACCAAGGCGACGAUCAGUAGCCGGUCUGAGAGGAUGAACGGCCACAUUGGAACUGAGACACGGUCCAAACUCCUACGGGAGGCAGCAGGA
rnacentral:rRNA from 1 species